AGUUUGAACAUUGGAGAGGUUUCUGGUGACAAAAUGAGGCAAGCAUUAUUGUUGUAUUUGAUUUGUGGAGUUCUAGCUUGCUUUUAGCCUUUCGCCAGUGAAAGCAGAGGACCCUUACAGAUACUAUACAUGGACUGUAACUUAUGGAACUAUUUAUCCUCUUGGUGUCCCUCAACAGGGUAUUCUCAUCAAUAGCCAAUUUCCUGGUCCUAGACUUGAUGUUGUGACCAACAAUAACAUAAUCCUCAACCUCAUUAAUAAGCUGGACCAGCCUUUCUUAUUGACAUGGAAUGGUAUUAAGCAGAUGAAGAACUCCUGGCAAGAUGGAGCGCUUGGGACCAACUGCCCUAUUCCUGCGAACUCAAAUUACACAUACAAGUUCCAAACUAAAGAUCAAAUU